rnacentral:ncRNA from 2 species
AAAGAACACUAGGGGAAUCCUAUGUAUACUCCUUGCUGAAAUUUUGAGGAGAUAUACCUUCAUUCAAAUAGCUGAAUGAAGUGAUAAGGACUGAGAGAGGAGUGAGACUCUGAUACCCUUAUUACCUGAACAGGUUUGGACCUGCGGAGGAAAGUGAUGUGUCUUUAUC